AUUGAACGCUGGCGGCAGGCCUAACACAUGCAAGUCGAGCGGAGCGGCGGACGGGUGAGUAAUGCCUAGGAAUCUGCCUGGUAGUGGGGGAUAACGUCCGGAAACGGGCGCUAAUACCGCAUACUAUCAGAUGAGCCUAGGUCGGAUUGGCUAGUUGGUGGGGUAAAGGCCUACGAAGGCGACGAUCCGUAACUGGUCUGAGAGGAUGGUCAGUCACACUGGAACUGAGACACGGUCCAGACUCCUACGGGGGGCAGCGGUGGGGAGUAUUGGACAAUGGGCGAAAGCCGAAGCCAGCCAUGCGGGGUGUGUGAAGAAGGUCUUCGGAUUGUAAAGCACUUUCAGCGGGGAGGCUUUACCCGCAGAAGAAGCACCGGCUAACUCCGUGCCAGCAGCCGCGGUAAUU
rnacentral:rRNA from 1 species